rnacentral:rRNA from 1 species
CUGKAWUUGAAGAAACCCGAUCCGAGAUCCUACCGGAGGCAGCAUGAGGAAUUUGGCCAAUUGGGAUCCUGAUGCAGCACCGCCGCGUGGAGGAUGAGCAUUUCCGUKKGUAAACUCCUUUUWUGAGUCAAGAAAUGACGGUAGUYCAUGAUAAGCACCGGCUACUCCGUGCAGCAGCGCGKGAUACGAGGGUGCAAGCGUACUCGGAAUCACUGGGCGUAAAGGACGCGUAGGCGGGUUGGUAAGUCAGAUGUGAAAUCCUACAGCUCAACUGUAGAACUGCAUUUGAAACUACCGACCUAGAGUAUGGGAGGGGGAGAUGGAAUUAGUGGUGUAGGGGUAAAAUCCGUAGAUAUCACUAGGAAUACCAAAAGCGAAGGCGAUCUCCUGGAACAUUACUGACGCUAAGGCGUGAAAGCGUGGGGAGCAAACAGGAUUAGAUACCCUGGUAGUCCACGCCCUAAACGAUGAACACUAGUCGUCGGAAAGCUUGUCUUUUCGGUGAUGCACUUAACAGAUUAAGUGUUCCGCCUGGGGAGUACGGUCGCAAGAUUAAAACUCAAAGGAAUAGACGGGGACCCGCACAAGUGGUGGAGCAUGUGGUUUAAUUCGAAGAUACGCGAAAAACCUUACCUGGCCUUGACAUUGAUAGAAUCUGCUAGAGAUAGCGGAGUGCCCUUCGGGGAGCUUGAAAACAGGUGCUGCACGGCUGUCGUCAGCUCGUGUCGUGAGAUGUUGGGUUAAGUCCCGCAACGAGCGCAACCCUCGUCCUUAGUUGCCAGCAGGUUAAGCUGGGCACUCUAGGGAGACUGCCUUCGUAAGGAGGAGGAAGGUGAGGACGACGUCAAGUCAUCAUGGCCCUUAUGGCCAGGGCUACACACGUGCUACAAUGGGGCGUACAGAGAGUUGCAAUACCGCGAGGUGGAGCCAAUCUCACAAAGCGUCUYUCAGUUCGGAUUGUAGUYUGCAACUCGACUUCAUGAAGCUGGAAUCACUAGUAAUCGUAGAUCAGCAUUGCUACGGUGAAUACGUUCCCGGGUCUUGUACUCACCGCCCGUCACACCAUGGGAGUUGAUUUCACCCGAAAUUGGGAAGCUAACCUUCGGGAGGCUACCAYWUACGSUGGAAUUAGCGACUGGGGUGAAGUCGUAACAAGGUAACCGU